rnacentral:rRNA from 1 species
UUUGAUCAUGGCUCAGGACGAACGCUGGCGGCGUGCCUAACACAUGCAAGUCGAACGGAACUUCUUUAAAGGAUUUCUUCGGAAUGAAUUUGAUUAAGUUUAGUGGCGGACGGGUGAGUAACGCGUGAGUAACCUGCCUCCAAGAGGGGAAUAACAUUCUGAAAAGAAUGCUAAUACCGCAUAACAUAUAUUUAUCGCAUGGUAGAUAUAUCAAAGAUUUAUCGCUCAGAGAUGGACUCGCGUCCGAUUAGUUAGUUGGUGAGGUAACGGCUCACCAAGACCGCGAUCGGUAGCCGGACUGAGAGGUUGAACGGCCACAUUGGGACUGAGACACGGCCCAGACUCCUACGGGAGGCAGCAGUGGGGGAUAUUGCGCAAUGGGGGAAACCCUGACGCAGCAACGCCGCGUGAAGGAUGAAGGUCUUCGGAUUGUAAACUUCUUUUAUUAAGGACGAAGAAAGUGACGGUACUUAAUGAAUAAGCUCCGGCUAACUGCGUGCCAGCAGCCGCGGUAAUACGUAGGGAGCAAGCGUUGUCCGGAUUUACUGGGUGUAAAGGGUGCGUAGGCGGCUUUGCAAGUCAGAUGUGAAAUCUAUGGGCUCAACCCAUAGCCUGCAUUUGAAACUGCAGAGCUUGAGUGAAGUAGAGGCAGGCGGAAUUCCCCGUGUAGCGGUGAAAUGCGUAGAGAUGGGGAGGAACACCAGUGGCGAAGGCGGCCUGCUGGGCUUUAACUGACGCUGAGGCACGAAAGCGUGGGUAGCAAACAGGAUUAGAUACCCUGGUAGUCCACGCUGUAAACGAUGAUUACUAGGUGUGGGGGGUCUGACCCCUUCCGUGCCGGAGUUAACACAAUAAGUAAUCCACCUGGGGAGUACGGCCGCAAGGUUGCAACUCAAAGGAAUUGACGG